rnacentral:rRNA from 2 species
AUGUGUGAUUAUACCAACAUUAAUGCACCAGAUACCAUCAGAACGGUGCAGUUAAGCAUGCUUGGACAAGAGUAGUACUAGGAUGGGUGACCUCCUGGGAAGUACUCGUGUUGCACCUC